rnacentral:rRNA from 1 species
UCAAAUGUAUGUUGACGUAUUCUGAAAGGGAUACUUCUUCGGACAAUAUACAAGGUGCUGCAUGGUUGUCGUCAGCUCGUGCCGUGAGGUGUCGGGUUAAGUCCCAUAACGAGCGCAACCCCUAUCAUUAGUUGCCAUCAGGUCAAGCUGGGGACUCUAAUGAAACUGCCUACGCAAGUAGUGAGGAAGGUGGGAAUGACGUCAAAUCAGCACGGCCCUUACGUCCAGGGCUACACACGUGCUACAAUGGCCGAUACAGAGGGCAGCUACCUGGUGACAGGAUGCAAAUCUCCAAAGUCGGUCUCAGUUCGGAUCGGAGUCUGCAACCCGACUCCGUGAAGUUGGAUUCGCUAGUAAUCGCGCAUCAGCCAUGGCGCGGUGAAUACGUUCCCGGGCCUU